rnacentral:rRNA from 1 species
AUGGCCAGAGCCAGACUCCCUCUUGCCGCUUGCGUCGUCGCGUUCCACCUCUGCCUUCUCCUCUGUCCGACCUCCUCUCUCCGCCGGCUCCCCGAAGCAGAGAGCGUGGCGGCCCGCCAUGGCGGGAGCAGCAGGACGGCCUACCACUUCCAGCCAGCCAAGCCCUGGCAGAACGAGAGCGUGGCAGUCCGCCAUGGCGGGAGCAGUAGGACGACAGGCUACCAUUUCCAGCCCGCCAAGAACUGGCAGAACGAUCCGAAUGGGCCGAUGUACCACAACGGAGUGUACCACCUCUUCUACCAGUACAACCCACUGGGUGCGACAUGGGGCAAGGGCAACCUCUCUUGGGGGCAUUCGGUCUCCCAGGACCUUGUAAACUGGGCCGCCCUCGAAACUGCGAUUGACCCUACCGCCCCCUUUGACGCCAAUGGUUGUUGGUCAGGCUCGGCCACAAUUCUCCCUGGGGGCGUCCCAGCCAUGCUCUACACCGGCGGCGACGCCGACCGCGUGCAGGUGCAGAAUAUCGCCUUCGCCAAGAACCCCGCCGACCCGCUGCUCCGCGAGUGGGUGAAGCCCGCCUACAACCCCGUCAUCCCGCACCCGGCUGACGUCCUCUUCAACCAGUUCCGCGACCCUAGCACUGCAUGGGUAGGCAGCGAUGGCAUGUGGCGCAUCCUCGUCGCGGCCCAGGUCGGCAGCAACAACACGGGCAUUGCCUCCACGCUCGUCUACCGGAGCAAGGACUUCCGGCAUUGGGAGCGGAACGCCUCACCGUUGUACACAUCGCGCGCCGCCGGCAUGGUCGAGUGCCCAGACCUGUUUCCGGUGGCGGAGCCCGGCAUGGACGAGGGACGCCUCGACUACGCGGCCGGUACGGCGAGUGGUGCCAUGAGGCACGUGCUGAAGCUGAGCGUGAUGAACACGACCGAGGACUACUACGCGGUUGGGCAGUACGACAACGUGGCAGACACCUUCACGCCGGAGGUGGACGGCGAGCGCAUCAUCGAGGACUGCCGGACGUGGCGCCGCUUCGACUACGGCCAUGUGUACGCAUCCAAGUCCUUCUUCGACGCGCGCAAGAACCGGCGUGUGCUGUGGGCGUGGGUGAACGAGUCCGACAGCGAGGACGACGACAUCGCCAGAGGCUGGUCCGGCCUUCAGAUUGUUCCAAGGAAGGUGUGGCUUGACGGUGACGGGAAGCAGCUGCGCCAGUGGCCGGUUGAUGAGAUAGAGACACUGAGGACCAAAAGGGUCGGCCAUCAGUUGGUUGGACUGCACGUCAACACCGGUGGGGUGAAGGAGAUCACCGGCGCGGGCGCACAGGCGGCCGUGGAGGUCGUCUUCCAGAUCCCAGACUUGGAAGGGGCCGAGACCUUCGAGCCCAAGUGGCUGCUGGACCCUCAGAAGCUGUGUGAGGAGAGAGGCGUGUCCGUGCCAGGCGGGGUCGGCCCGUUCGGGCUGCUCGUCAUGGCCUCCGGCGACCUGCGGGAGCACACGUCUGUAUUCUUCAGGGUGUUCAGACGCAGCGACAACUACAGAAUCCUCAUGUGCACCGACCUCACAAGAUCCACUCGGAGAGACAAAGUGUACAAGCUGGCGUAUGGAGGAUUUGUAGACAUGGACAUGGAGGAGCAAGGGAGCACCAUAUCUCUCAGAACACUGGUUGACUAUUCGGUGGUGGAAAGUUUCGGAGGCGGGGGGCGGACAUGCAUGACUGCAAGGGUGUACCCUGAGCACGCAGAGAAGAGCAACAGUCACGUGUUCGUUUUCAACAAUGGAACCGGCGGCGUGAAGGUGACCAGGCUUGACGCUUGGAGGCUGAAGACAGCGACCGUGAACGUGGUGCCAUUACGCGGAUGA